CUGGAUUUGUCUGCAGGAAACAUCCUCUGGGUUAGUUGUACUACAGAUACUUCAAUUUGCUAUUUCUCGCAUUUUGGAAAGAAAAAACAAAGCAAACAAAAAACAAACCCACUCUUUUAAUAAUAAAAUAAUUCUUUUCAAUAAUAAAAUUAUUGAAGUCCCCAGACUUGUUAUCUUCAGUGAAAGCAUUAUAUUCCCCAUAACGAAAGUAAGCCAUAAUUCAAACCUUUUUUUCCUGCUGGUGUGUUUUUAGACACUUUCAGAGAAUGUUUCUUCACAGGCAGUGUGGGAAUUUGCCUGUCACGCUUGGCUUCACUGCUGGGUAUUUUAUACAGAUUCAGGCAGUUUUCAGCAGUCUUCUGAAAGCAGCCCAAAAGACAAUGGGAAGAGCUAAGGGAAUGAAAAGGAAAAUGGGGCUAGACUAGCAAGCUAAAUAUUUCCUGAAAAUUC